GAUGAACGCUGGCGGCGUGCCUAAUACAUGCAAGUCGAGCGAACGGACGAGAAGCUUGCUUCUCUGAUGUUAGCGGCGGACGGGUGAGUAACACGUGGAUAACCUACCUAUAAGACUGGGAUAACUUCGGGAAACCGGAGCUAAUACCGGAUAAUAUUUUGAACCGCAUGGUUCAAAAGUAAAAGACGGUCUUGCUGUCACUUAUAGAUGGAUCCGCGCUGCAUUAGCUAGUUGGUAAGGUAACGGCUUACCAAGGCAACGAUGCAUAGCCGACCUGAGAGGGUGAUCGGCCACACUGGAACUGAGACACGGUCCAGACUCCUACGGGAGGCAGCAGUAGGGAAUCUUCCGCAAUGGGCGAAAGCCUGACGGAGCAACGCCGCGUGAGUGAUGAAGGUCUUCGGAUCGUAAAACUCUGUUAUUAGGGAAGAAUAUAUGUGUAAGUAACUGUGCACAUCUUGACGGUACCUAAUCAGAAAGCCACGGCUAACUACGUGCCAGCAGCCGCGGUAAUACGUAGGUGGCAAGCGUUAUCCGGAAUUAUUGGGCGUAAAGCGCGCGUAGGCGGUUUUUUAAGUCUGAUGUGAAAGCCCACGGCUCAACCGUGGAGGGUCAUUGGAAACUGGAAAACUUGAGUGCAGAAGAGGAAAGUGGAAUUCCAUGUGUAGCGGUGAAAUGCGCAGAGAUAUGGAGGAACACCAGUGGCGAAGGCGACUUUCUGGUCUGUAACUGACGCUGAUGUGCGAAAGCGUGGGGAUCAAACAGGAUUAGAUACCCUGGUAGUCCACGCCGUAAACGAUGAGUGCUAAGUGUUAGGGGGUUUCCGCCCCUUAGUGCUGCAGCUAACGCAUUAAGCACUCCGCCUGGGGAGUACGACCGCAAGGUUGAAACUCAAAGGAAUUGACGGGGACCCGCACAAGCGGUGGAGCAUGUGGUUUAAUUCGAAGCAACGCGAAGAACCUUACCAAAUCUUGACAUCCUUUGACAACUCUAGAGAUAGAGCCUUCCCCUUCGGGGGACAAAGUGACAGGUGGUGCAUGGUUGUCGUCAGCUCGUGUCGUGAGACGUUGGGUUAAGUCCCGCAACGAGCGCAACCCUUAAGCUUAGUUGCCAUCAUUAAGUUGGGCACUCUAAGUUGACUGCCGGUGACAAACCGGAGGAAGGUGGGGAUGACGUCAAAUCAUCAUGCCCCUUAUGAUUUGGGCUACACACGUGCUACAAUGGACAAUACAAAGGGCAGCGAAACCGCGAGGUCAAGCAAAUCCCAUAAAGUUGUUCUCAGUUCGGAUUGUAGUCUGCAACUCGACUACAUGAAGCUGGAAUCGCUAGUAAUCGUAGAUCAGCAUGCUACGGUGAAUACGUUCCCGGGUCU
rnacentral:rRNA from 1 species